UACGUAGGGGGCAAGCGUUGUCCGGAAUCAUUGGGCGUAAAGAGCGUGUAGGCGGUCCGGUAAGUCGGCUGUGAAAGUCCAGGGCUCAACCCUGGGAUGCCGGUCGAUACUGCCGGACUAGAGUUCGGAAGAGGCGAGUGGAAUUCCCGGCGUAGCGGUGAAAUGCGCAGAUAUCGGGAGGAACACCUAUGGCGAAGGCAGCUCGCUGGGACGUUACUGACGCUGAGACGCGAAAGCGUGGGGAGCAAACAGG
rnacentral:rRNA from 1 species